rnacentral:rRNA from 1 species
UACGGAGGGUGCAAGCGUUAUCCGGAUUUACUGGUUUAAAGGGUGCGUAGGUGGGUCUGUAAGUCAGUGGUGAAAUCUCCGAGCUUAACUCGGAAACUGCCAUUGAUACUAUAGGUCUUGAAUUAUCUGGAGGUAAGCGGAAUAUGUCAUGUAGCGGUGAAAUGCUUAGAUAUGACAUAGAACACCAAUUGCGAAGCAGCUUACUACGGAUUGAUUGACACUGAGGCACGAAAGCUGGGGAUCAAACAGG